UACGUAGGGGCAAGCGUUUUGUCCGGAUUUUAUUGGGCGUAAAGAGCGUGUAGGCGGCCAGGGAGGUCCGUUGUGAAAACUCGAGGCUCAACCUCGAGACGCCGAUGGAAACCCCCUGGCUAGAGUCCGGAAGAGGAGAGUGGAAUUCCUGGUGUAGCGGUGAAAAUGCGCAGAUAUCAGGAAGAAACACCCCGUGGCGAAGGCGGUUCUCUGGGGACGGGUACUGACGCUUGAGACG
rnacentral:rRNA from 1 species